rnacentral:lncRNA from 1 species
UUGUGACAUCUCCUUUUUCAUUACUUAUUUUGUUUAUUUGGGUUUUUUUGCUCCUCUUUUUAGUGAGUCUGGCCAGGGGUUUGUCAAUGUUGAUUACCUUUGCAAAGAACCAGCUCUUUCUUUGAUUGAUUUUUUCUAUUGUUUUUUAAAUUUCUAUUUUAUUGAUUUCAUCUCCAAUGUUUAUGAUUUCCUUCCUUCUGCUGACUUUAGGUUUUGUUUGUUCUUCUUUUUCUAAUUCAUUUAGUGGUGGAGGGUUAAGUUGUCAAUUUGGGAUCUUUCUUCUUUUUUGAGAAAGGCCUGUAUUGCUAUAAAUUUCCCUCUGAGCACUGCUUUCGCAGCAUCCCAUAGAUUUUGAGAGGUUGUGUCUUCAUUAUCAUUUGUUUCAAGGUAGUUUUUAAUUUCCUUCUUGAUUUCCUCAUUGACCCAUUGGUUUUUUAGUAGCAUGUUGUUUAGUCUCCAUGGAGUAGGUUUUUUCUCUUUGCUUUUCCCAUGGUUGAUUUCUAAUUUCAUGGCAUUGUGGUCAGAGAAGAUACUUGAGAUAAUUUCUAUGCUCCUAAAUUUAUUGAGAUUCGCUUUGUGUCCCAAUAUGUGGUCGAUUCUUGAGAAUGUUCCAUGAGCAUUUGAGAAGAAUGUGUAUUCUGCUUUUUUUGGAUGUAGUGUCCUGAAGAUAUCAAUUAAGUCUAACUUUUCUAUUGUUUCCUUUAGGAUCUCUGUUGCUUUAUUGGUUUUCUGUCUAGAGGAUCUGUCCAUUGAUGUGAGGGGGGUAUUAAGGUCUCCUACUAUGAUUGUAUUCUCAUCAAUAUCUCCCUUUAUGUCUGUUAAUAUUUGUUGUAUGUAUCUGGGUGCUCCUAUAUUUGGGGCAUAUAUGUUGAUGAUAGUAACAUCCUCUCCUUGGAUGGAUCCCUUAAUCAUUAAAUAGUGUCCUUCUUUGUCUUUCUUUAUGUCUUUUGUUUUAAAGUCUAUUUUGUCUGAUAUGAGCGUUGCGACUCCUGCUUUUCUGUCAUGUCUAUUGGCGUGAAAUAUUUUUCCCCACCCUUUCACUUUCAAUCUAUAUGUAUCUUUUGUCCUAAGGUGAGUUUCUUGUAGGCAGCAUAUUGAAGGUUUUUGCCUUUUUAUCCACUCAGCCACUCUGUGUCUUUUGAUUGGGGCAUUCAGUCCAUUGACAUUUAAGGUGAUAAUUGAUAGAUGAUUAUUUAUUGCCAUUUGAACCUCGUGUUCCAGUUGAUUCUAUGGUUCUCCAUUCUUCCUUUCUUUUUUUUUUUUUUUGGUUGGAUGGUCUCCUGUUAUUAUCUGCUUGAGUGUAUUUUUUUUUUUUUUUUUUGCAAAUGCAAUAUUUGGUUUUGGCUUGUGGUUGCCCUGUUUUUUAAGUAUGCUAACCCCUUCCCAUAAUUGUGUGUUUUAGCCUGAUGGUCCUGUAAGUUCAAACACUUCAUUACUAUAUUAAAAU